GGAAGGAUCAUUAAUGAAUCGUUCUCGCGUAGAGAACAUCAUUAUUCCAUACCCUGUGAAACCGGUUUUUUACACUCUGGUAAUGCAUGUGGCCUCUAUAAGAAAAAAUAACUUUCAGUGGCGGAUCUCUUGGCUCCCGCAUCGAUGAAGAACGCAGCGAAACGCGAAAUGUAAUGUGAAUUGCAGAAUCCCCGUGAAUCAUCGAAUCUUUGAACGCAUCUUGCGCCCUUUGGUAUUCCGAGGGGCAUACCUGUUUGAGUGUCGCAUUACUCUCAACCCUUGACCGAUCAUCGGCUUGGGCUUGGACCGUGGCCGAACCCGGCCGGCGUCAUAGACGUCUGGCCCGGCCGAAAUAAAUGCGGAGCGAAUGCGCGACCGCGACGACCGAGCGUUGUAGAACCUCGCGAGGCUGUUGCCGGUGUGUGCUGCUCUCCAGUCAUAUUCUUCGAUCUCAAAUCAGGUAGGACUACCCGCUGAACUUAAGCAUAUCAAUAAGCGGAGGAAAAGAAAACAAUCGUGAUUCCCCUAGUAACGGCGAGUGAAGCGGGAACAGCCCAACUUUGUAAUCUGGCGUCCUUGGCGUCCGAGUUGUAGUCUCGAGAAGCGUGACCCGUGAUGGCCCAUACCAAAUCGGUUCGGAUGCCGAGUCAUAGAGGGUAACAAUCCCGUUGGCAGUGUGGGUACCAGCGCAACAGCGGUCCACUCUCUAAGAGUCGAGUUGUUUGGGAAUGCAGCUCUAAUUAGGUGGUAAAUUCCAUCCAAGGCUAAAUAUCGGCGGGAGACCGAUAGCGAACAAGUACCGUGAGGGAAAGAUGAAAAGCACUUUGGAAAGAGAAUGAAAGAGUAUGUGAAACCGCUGGAAGGGAAACGCUUAAAGUCAGAUGCGCGCGAUGCGAUUCAGCCCGGUUCGCCGGGUGCACUUCGUAUCACUGCGCGCCAGCAUCGGUUUGUGGGGCCGCAUUAGCGCGGUGGGAAUGUAGCCACUCUCGGGUGGUGUUAUAGCCCGCCUGCGUGGCCGGCGCCGUAGACCGAGGACAGCAGCGUGCCGCAAGGCAGCCCUCGUGGGGGCAAAGCGCUUAGGAUGCUGGCGGAAUGGUUUUAAGCGACCCGUCUUGAAACACGGACCAAGGAGUCAAAUGUGCCCGCGAGUAUUUGGGUGUCAGACCCGGAUGCGUAAUGAAAGUGAAUGAAGGUCGGAGGCGCAAGCCGCACGAUCGACCGGUCUGGAUUCUUUGAUGAUGGAUCUGAGUAAGAGCGAGUACACUUGGACCCGAAAGAUGGUGAACUAUGCGUGAAUAGGGCGAAGCCAGAGGAAACUCUGGUGGAGGCUCGUAGCGGUUCUGACGUAGAUUUGUGCGUCAUAGAGCGUUAGCUAGUGACCAAGUCGCUACACUGUCAAACUGCGGGAAAGGCCAGAAACUCAAGUCUGCUAAGUCGCAUCGGCGACCAGAGCCAUAAUGGCUUGACUGGGUCAAUCCGCAUCGGCGCGUGUGAUAGAUAACACGUGUCGUCCAGAGAUUAGAGGACAGUGGGCUGUAUUCAGUCUAAAGUAUAAUCCAAACUGUGUAGAAAUGCACAGAAGAAUUGGCAAAUCGAUCGUAUAAUUUGCGUAUAGGGGCGAAAGACUAAUCGAACCAUCUAGUAGCUGGUUCACGC
rnacentral:misc_RNA from 1 species